GACGAACGCUGGCGGCGUGCUUAACACAUGCAAGUCGAACGGAAAGGCCUGCUUUCCCUUGUGGAUUGCGGGUACUCGAGUGGCGAACGGGUGAGUAACACGUGAGUGAUCUGCCCCCAACUUGGGUAUAAGCCUGGGAAACUGGGUCUAAUUCCCGAUAGGACUGCAGGGUGGUGCCUGUGGUGGAAAACGACUUUCUAGUGGUUGGGGAUGAGCUCGCGGCCUAUCAGCUUGUUGGUGGGGUAAUGGCCUACCAAGGCGGCGACGGGUAGCCGGCCUGAGAGGGUGGACGGCCACAUUGGGACUGAGAUACGGCCCAGACUCCUACGGGAGGCAGCAGUGGGGAAUAUUGCACAAUGGGCGGAAGCCUGAUGCAGCGACGCCGCGUGGGGGAUGACGGCCUUCGGGUUGUAAACUCCUUUCGACCGCGAGGAAGCCACCUGGUUGGAAGGGUGGUGACGGUAGUGGUAGAAGAAGCACCGGCUAACUACGUG
rnacentral:rRNA from 1 species